rnacentral:rRNA from 1 species
CCUACGGGGGGCUGCAGUCGAGAAUCAUUCACAAUGGGGGAAACCCUGAUGGUGCGACGCCGCGUGGGGGAAUGAAGGUCUUCGGAUUGUAAACCCCUUUCAUGUGGGAGCAAAUUAAAACGAUGGUACCACAAGAGGCAGAGACGGCUAACUCUGUGCCAGCAGCCGCGGUAAUACAGCGGUCUCAAGCGUUGUUCGGAAUCACUGGGCGUAAAGCGUGCGUGGGCUGUUUCGUAAGUCGUGUGUGAAAGGCGCGGGCUCAACCCGCGGACGGCACAUGAUACUGCGAGAUUAGAGUAAGGGAGGGGGAAGCGGAAUUCGCGGUGUAGCAGUGAAAUGCGUAGAUAUCGAGCAGAACACUGGUGGCGAAGGCAGCUUACUGGACAUUAACUGACGCUGAGGCACGAAGGCCAGGGGAGCGAAAGGGAUUAGAUACCCGGGUAGUC